rnacentral:tRNA from 1 species
GCCUGGGUGGGUCAGUUGGUUGAGCAUCUGACUUAGGCUCAGGUCAUGAUCUCAUAAUGAGUGGGUUCGAGCCCUGCUUCAGGCU